ACCAGACUCCUACGGGAGGCAGCAGUGGGGGAUAUUGCACAAUGGGGGGAACCCUGAUGCAGCGACGCCGCGUGGGUGAAGAAGCGCCUCGGCGCGUAAAGCCCUGUCAGCAGGGAAGAAAAUGACGGUACCUGAAGAAGAAGCCCCGGCUAACUACGUGCCAGCAGCCGCGGUAAUACGUAGGGGGCAAGCGUUAUCCGGAUUUACUGGGUGUAAAGGGGGCGCAGACGGCGAUGCAAGCCAGGAGUGAAAGCCCGGGGCCCAACCCCGGGACUGCUCUUGGAACUGCGUGGCUGGAGUGCAGGAGGGGCAGGCGGAAUUCCUGGUGUAGCGGUGAAAUGCGUAGAUAUCAGGAGGAACACCGGUGGCGAAGGCGGCCUGCUGGACUGCAACUGACGUUGAGGCCCGAAAGCGUGGGGAGCAAACAGGAUUAGAUACCCGGGUACGG
rnacentral:rRNA from 1 species